rnacentral:rRNA from 1 species
AUUGAACGCUGGCGGCAUGCCUUACACAUGCAACUCGAACGGUAACAGGUCUUCGGAUGCUGACGAGUGGCGAACGGGUGAGUAAUACAUCGGAACGUGCCCAGACGUGGGGGAUAACGAGGCGAAAGCUUUGCUAAUACCGCAUACGAUCUAAGGAUGAAAGCAGGGGACCGCAAGGCCUUGCGCGUUUGGAGCGGCCGAUGGCAGAUUAGGUAGUUGGUGGGAUAAAAGCUUACCAAGCCGACGAUCUGUAGCUGGUCUGAGAGGACGACCAGCCACACUGGGACUGAGACACGGCCCAGACUCCUACGGGAGGCAGCAGUGGGGAAUUUUGGACAAUGGGCGAAAGCCUGAUCCAGCAAUGCCGCGUGCAGGAUGAAGGCCUUCGGGUUGUAAACUGCUUUUGUACGGAACGAAAAGGCUCUGGCUAAUACCUGGGGCACAUGACGGUACCGUAAGAAUAAGCACCGGCUAACUACGUG